rnacentral:rRNA from 1 species
UGUAGCAUACAUGGCGAACUGCUCAGUAACACGUGGACAACCUGCCUAGGUUGGGUAUAAACCCGGGAAACUGGGUAUAAUACCCGAUAGGUCUCGAUUGCUGGAAUGCAUCGAGAUUUAAAGCUCCGGCGCCUAAGGAUGGGUCUGCGGCCUAUCAGGUAGUAGUGGGUGUAGCGUACCUACUAGCCUACGACGGGUACGGGUUGUGAGAGCAAGAGCCCGGAGAUGGAUUCUGAGACACGAAUCCAGGCCCUACGGGGUGCAGCAGGCGCGAAAACUUUACAAUGCUGGCAACAGCGAUAAGGGAACCUCGAGUGCCAGGUUACAAAUCUGGCUGUCGAGAUGCCUAAAAAGCAUUUCAUAGCAAGGGCCGGGCAAGACCGGUGCCAGCCGCCGCGGUAACACCGGCGGCUCGAGUGGUAACCGUUAUUAUUGGGUCUAAAGGGUCUGUAGCCGGCCGGAUAAGUCUCUUGAGAAAUCUGGCAGCUUAACUGUCAGGCUUUCAGGAGAUACUGUCUGGCUCGAGGCCGGGAGAGGUGAGAGGUACUUCAGGGGUAGGGGUGAAAUCUUGUAAUCCUUGAAGGACCACCAGUGGCGAAGGCGUCUCACCAGAACGGACCUGACGGCAAGGGACGAAAGCUAGGGGCACGAACCGGAUUAGAUACCCGGGUAGUCCUAGCCGUAAACGAUACUCGCUAGGUGUCGGCCACGGUGCGACCGUUGUCGGUGCCGUAGGGA